rnacentral:misc_RNA from 1 species
AGCAGCCGCGGUAAUUCCAGCUCCAAUAGCGUAUAUUAAAGUUGUUGCAGUUAAAAGCUCGUAGUUGAGUUUCGGGAUCAGUUGAUCGGUCGUGCCUCGGUACGUACUGGUCAAAUUGAUUCCUACCUUCUGACGAACCACGAUGUCAUUAAUUUGGUGUCGUGGGAAAUCAGGACUGUUACUUUGAAAAAUUAGAGUGUUUAAAGCAGGCUCGCGCUUGAAUACAUUAGCAUGGAAUAAUGAAAUAGGACGUUUGAUUCUAUUUUGUUGGUUUCUAGGAUCGACGUAAUGAUUAAUAGGGAUAGUUGGGGGCAUUAGUAUUCAAUUGUCAGAGGUGAAAUUCUUGGAUUUAUUGAAGACUAACUACUGCGAAAGCAUUUGCCAAGGAUGUUUUCAUUAAUCAAGAACGAAAGUUAGGGAUCGAAGACGAUCAGAUACCGUCGUAGUCUUAACCAUAAACUAUA